rnacentral:rRNA from 1 species
UAGGUGGGUUCGGGUUGCCGCAGGCCUCCCGGGUAACCUACCACCCUUUGUUUAUUACACUUUGUUGCUUUGGCAAGCCUGCCCUCGGGCUGCUGGCUCCGGCCGGCGAGCGCUUGCCAGAGGACCUAAACUCUGUUUGUCUAUACUGUCUGAGUACUAUAUAAUAGUUAAAACUUUCAACAACGGAUCUCUUGGUUCUGGCAUCGAUGAAGAACGCAGCGAAAUGCGAUAAGUAAUGUGAAUUGCAGAAUUCAGUGAAUCAUCGAAUCUUUGAACGCACAUUGCGCCCCCUGGUAUUCCGGGGGGCAUGCCUGUCCGAGCGUCAUUACAACCCUCAAGCUCAGCUUGGUGUUGGGCCCCGCCGCCCCGGCGGGCCCUAAAGUCAGUGGCGGUGCCGUCCGGCUCCGAGCGUAGUAAUUCUUCUCGCUCUGGAGGUCCGGUCGUGUGCUCGCCAGCAACCCCCAAUUUUUUUCAGGUUGACCUCGGAUCAGGUAGGGAUACCCGCUGAACUUAAGCAUAUCAAUAAGCGGAGGAA